rnacentral:rRNA from 1 species
ACGGGGUGCAGCAGGCGCGAAAACUCUACAAUGCAGGCAACUGCGACAGGGGGACAUCGAGUGGCAUCCACCUUGGGUGCCUGUCCAACCGUCUAAAAAACGGUUGUUAGCAAGGGCCGGGUAAGACCGGUGCCAGCCGCCGCGGUAAUACCGGCGGCUUGAGUGGUGGCCGAUAUUAUUGAGUCUAAAGGGUCCGUAGCCGGCUUUGCAAGUCUCUCGGGAAAUCCAGCGGCUUAACCGUUGGGCUGUCGGGGGGUACUACAUUGCUUGGGACUGGGAGAGGUAGGAGGUACUCAGGGGGUAGGAGUGAAAUCCUGUAAUCCUUUGGGGACCACCGGUGGCGAAGGCGUCCUACCAGAACAGGUCCGACGGUGAGGGACGAAAGCUAGGGGCACGAACCGGAUUAGAUACCCGGGUAGUCCUAGCCGUAAACGGUGCUCGCUAGGUGUCACAACAGUCGUGAACUGUUGUGGUGCCGUAGGGAAGCCGUGAAGCGAGCCACUUGGGAAGUACGACCGCAAGGUUGAAACUUAAAGGAAUUGGCGGGGGA